UUGGCAAUCAUAUUAUCUAUUAAUGAUGAUAAUUCUAUUAUUUAAUUGAAACUCUUACGUAAUUUUUUUUCUUGUUUUUCCGCACUGCUCAGUGAUAAUGAACAUCCUUUAUUUUUCCUACUUUAAAGACAAGGUAUCUGUCAUGCAGACUGGAAUGCAGUGGUGCGAUCAUGGCUCCCUAUAAGCUUGAACUCUUGGGCUCAAGUGAUACUGCCACCUUGGUCUCCUGAGUAGCUGGGACUACGAGUGUGUACCACCACUCCUGGGUAAUU
rnacentral:lncRNA from 1 species